rnacentral:lncRNA from 1 species
CCACGAGGACACCUCGUCCUAGUUACUGACUGUCUCUUAAUCUGAAAACAUGAAGUUGAAAGCGAUGAGCAUAAACUCAGUGAGUGAACAAUAAGGGAACAAGCAUACCAUAAGGAAUGUUUAUCGAAAUCAUCAUGCACUCAUUUUCUCAAAACAAUACAAUUUGUUCUAGUUCUUAGUAGAACCCCUCAUGAGUAAAUCACUUAAAAGAUCCAUACUCAACUAUGGUACCAAAGAAUCAAAAAAUAUACCAAAACCCACAAGUUAGCCAAAAUGGAUAGAAAGUUCCUCGCUGCAACGAGAACCAGGUCUGGAGAAGGCCUUCAAACUCGAAAGUUUCUCGUUGCAGUGAGAAUGAAUCUCGCUGCAGCGAGAGUCAGAACAUCAAGGAAAAAGUCUCAUUUUCUUUUAAAACAAGCCAUCUUGCUAAAAUAACAAUAGCAACAUGUAACACAUGUAAACUCUCAAAUUUUAACAAAUCAAAAGCUCACAUAUUUGCAUUUACAACCAUAUACCAUAUAUCUAUAUAUAUAUAUAUAUAUCAAUCAUCAUAUACACCCUCCCAUCAUCAUCAUCUCAUAUGCAACGGCUUAUGUGUACUCCCACUCGCAUAUAGCCGGGUCAGCAACGACUUAUGUGCACUCUUACUCGCACAUAGCCGAGUCAGCAACGGCUUAUGUGCACUCCCACUAGCACAUAGCCGGGUCAGCAACGGCUUAUGUGCACUCCCACUCGCACAUAGUCGGGUCAACAACGGCUUAUGUGCACUCCUACUCGCACAUAGCCGGGUCCACAUUAACAUGCAAAGAAGCAUCCAAUGCAUAUCAUGCAUUUUACCAUAUUGUGAUAACACAUAAACCAUUGUAUAGCACAUUUUAACAAUAUAAAAUUAUUUUACUAAAAGCUUGUUCCCAAGGUACAUUUUCGAAGACAAGUUGGAUAGAAUCUUUCAUAUUCCCCAAAACAAGUUUGAAAUGCAAGUCCAAUCACCGGUAUUCUUGAGCCUUUAACCGACUCUUAAUUCCCCUAAUGAUCCAAUUGGGGUGAUGGGCCUUCGUUAGCACUUACCAUCAAUUUAACAUUUCCAUAAUGUCAAUUUACAUACUAUAAACCCUAAAAGCUAUCUUUUAGCUAGCUUUCAAUUGCCGUUUAAAUGGCCAUCCAUUUUCACUUUCCUAUCACUUUAAAGUGAAUUAACAAUUUCAACUACAAAACAUUCACAAUUCAAAUAUCUAGUCAUUCUCAACACUUAAAACCCAAUAUUAGUUUUCUACUCACCUUGAUAGCUUUGUAACUUUGAACUUCUUUCUAAAAGCUCUCAAGCUAUUAAUAAAGCUUCUUCUUUCUCUCUCUAAAACACUUAACUAGUGAGAGAGUAUAGAAACAAGAUUUUCAUCAUUUUCAAGGGUUUUAAAGUGAGAGAGUGGAAGAAUACAAGGGUUCUAGUCAAAAGGGCACCAAGGUAUGAAAAUUAAAGCUAGAGAGAGAAAGUUAUGAAAGCUUCACAUCAAGCUUCCAUGGAGGAAUU